UAGAACAGCCAUCUGAGCACAAACAGAGGACAGUCCAGUCCCUCUCCGGGGCUGGGGACACAGGCUGGCUGGAAGGACCUCUUGCAAGUCUACCUUGGUGCAGUACUAGAAAGAGGUAUGGAGAGAAGUGAACAUGUGGGAGAAGUACUCAGGAAGUAGAAACUUGUUACAGCCACCAGAUAAAGCUCAGACUCUUUAGCCAGCAGCAGACUCUGCCUUUCCUCCAGCAUCUGCAUCCUCCCAUCCACAUUGAUGGGCCUCUCUACUCCCAUCUGUGGACCCAGCAUCUAAGACCAGUCAUAACCUUAUGCAGAAGGAAUGAAAAGACCUCAGCUCAGCGCUCUGGAAUGGAGCAUCAGACUUCUGCUCCUCCUCAGAGUCAGGCCCCCGUGUUCCAGAGUUUGGAAGUCUGCCCAUGAACCUGAGCUUAGCGGCUGGAGCCUGCUGACUGCUGACCGACAUUCUUAUUCCCUCCCUGCUGAAGACAUUUCUUAGGGCCACCUGGUGCUAGAUUUUCUAGUACCAGCACCUCCCAGCCUCAAGAUCUGUCAGCCACCUCCCAACAUCAGCUCCACUCACCCAGGCAAGUAGAGUGACCACCUUGUCAUCUGCUGCCAUAUUCCUCUGAGUCUCCCUUCCAACACCUUGUCUGCAGCCUAGACUUGCCCCAAAGCUCCUACCCCAGCCCCCCAGCAGAUCUAGCCUCUGCCAGCUUGCUCUGUCUUUGGCAGUGAACCCGGCCAUUUCUAACAAUGUCUUGAGCUAUAACAAUUAACCGUCAAGGCCCUGCAAAUUUCCACCCACCCACCACUGAAACUUCCUCCUCCCUAAGCUUGUGUACCCUUUACUCCAGUCAAAAUCAUCUCCCUGUCAUUUGCCAUUCAUGCCCCACGACACUUACUGACCUCCCUGAUUCACUCCAUCCAACCACUCAGCCUGGAAAGGGCCUUCUCCCAUUCCAUCCCCAUUUCCUGAGGGAUUCUUACUAAAUAUUAAGCCCCCAAACAUGACAAUCUGUAAUCUCCUCCCCAUCCUGACUGGAAAUGACAGCCCUCUCCUCUGAACUCCUCCAGUUCAUUAUCUGGAUUUCCAGUAUGGCUUUUAUUACAUUCUUCCUUCUUGCAAAUGUCUUAUCUCCCCAAGAAUAUA